rnacentral:rRNA from 1 species
UACGUAGGGGGCGAGCGUUGUCCGAAGUUACUGGGCGUAAAGCGCACGUAGGCGGUUAUCUAAGUCUGGGGUGAAAGGUUCAGUGCUUAACGCGAACAGUGCCUUGGAGACUGGAUGACUUGAGUUUGGGAGAGGGUAGUGGAAUGGCUGGUGUAGCGGUGAAAUGCGUAGAUAUCAGUCGGAACACCAAUGGCGAAGGCAGCUACCUGGCCUAAAACUGACGCUGAGGUGCGAAAGCGUGGGGAGUGAACGGG